AUUCAUUUUGCUCUUCAAUGUUUCUCAUCAACAGGGGGUCUCCUUUGAAAGGCGCAUGCUAGUGUCGUGUGUGGACACACAUUCCAAGCUGCACAUCUGCAGUGCCUGUCUUGCAGCGUGCCGUGGUCACUGUCUGGAGGGAUUUGGUUCUCUCUCCCAGAUCCCGGACAAGCACGUGCCUGUUCGCUGGUUGCUGAAAUGUAUGUGUCCUGCAGAGCUUUCGUCUGACAAAGAGAGCCAGUACUUGGUGAACACGACUGCUGCAAGUCCGGUUAUAGUUUUGCCACGACCUGCCUGUUGCUGAAGCCUCGCUCCAGCGGGAUUCGCUCUGUUUCCACAGCCGGACACUGAUGGCUGCUUUGAAGUCUGGCUUUGCUGCUGAAACCUCAUUCCACAGAAGUCCUAGUGAUGGUUCUGCACCUGUUGCUUUGUAUUUUCCUUUUGCACUGUGGUCAAUAAACUGCAUUUUGCUCUA